UACGGAGGGGGCUAGCGUUAAUCGGAAUUACUGGGCGUAAAGCGUGCGUAGGCGGUUUGUUAAGUCUGCUGUGAAAUCCCCGGGCUCAACCUGGGAAUGGCAGUGGAUACUGGCAAGCUAGAGUGUGUCAGAGGAUGGUGGAAUUCCCGGUGUAGCGGUGAAAUGCGUAGAGAUCGGGAGGAACAUCAGUGGCGAAGGCGGCCAUCUGGGACAACACUGACGCUGAGGCACGAAAGCGUGGGGAGCAAACAGG
rnacentral:rRNA from 1 species